rnacentral:misc_RNA from 1 species
GAUGAAGAACGCAGCGAAAUGCGAUAAGUAAUGUGAAUUGCAGAAUUCAGUGAAUCAUCGAAUCUUUGAACGCACAUUGCGCCCUCUGGUAUUCCGGGGGGCAUGCCUGUUCGAGCGUCAUUAUAACCACUCAAGCUCUCGCUUGGUAUUGGAGUUCGCGAUCUCGCGGCUCCUAAAAUCAGUGGCGGUGCCUGUCGGCUCUACGCGUAGUAAUACUCCUCGCGAUUGAGUCCGGUAGGUUUACUUGCCAGCAACCCCCAAUUUUUACAGGUUGACCUCGGAUCAGGUAGGGAUACCCGCUGAACUUAAGCAUAUCAAUAAGCGAGGA